CGCGAGUAUUAGUGAUUGCAUCUUGGCUUAA
rnacentral:rRNA from 1 species